GAUUGGAGAAAAUCGACGGGUGCCCGCCCCGGCUUCGCGCCGCGGGGGGGAGAAUAGGGAAGCCGGUGGGAAUCCGGCGCGGGGCCGCCGCUGUAAUCGGCCAGGCUUCGGACGCUGCGACCACUGCCGAAAGGCGGGAAGGUCGUCCGAGAGCCGCUACGAGCCGAGAGCCAGAAGACCUGCCCGUCGAAUCGAUGUCGA
rnacentral:ncRNA from 2 species